CAAAAGGAUGAUGCAGGAAACACAACCGGAACAAGUUCCAUUGGAUACAGAGUGCCUAGGUGUGUGCCAGUUACAAAUACAAAUAGCAAAGCCUACACAAAGACCUGCACAAGUAUAACAUAUAUUUGUACAAUAUAUGGUCCUGAAAAGGUAUAUAAAAGUUAAAAGAGAACUAGGG